rnacentral:RNase_P_RNA from 1 species
GUUUUCGGGUAAUCGCGGUCUGACUUGAUCAGGCUGAGGAAAGUCCAUGCUCGCACAGGCUGUGAUGCCUGUAGUGUUCGUGCUUAGCGAAACCAUAAGCUAAGGUACUCUUUGGAGUAACGGCAGGAAAACAAGCUAAGGCUUCGGCUAUGCUUAAGUAUCCUUGAAAGUGCCACAGUGACGAAGCGGCUGGGGAAACCCAUCCGGUGGAACGCGGUAAACC